AUAUAUGUAGAUGGAAAUAAAAUAAAAGAUGUGAUGUAUUUCAUAAUCAAGCUAUUUUCAUUAAAUACAUUUAUGAAAAUACUUUUUAUAGCAAAGCAUGAAUUUUUAUACCAUGUAUGAUGAUCUUUUAUUUUAUAAAAAAAUAUGAUUUCAUCAGUAGCAAAUAUUAUUCAUGAAAAAUAUAAUAAUCUGAAAAUAAAUAAAGAGUGUAAAAUCUACUUAUCUCAUCCACCC
rnacentral:lncRNA from 1 species